UACGUAGGGGGCAAGCGUUGUCCGGAUUUAUUGGGCGUAAAGAGCGUGUAGGCGGCCAGACAGGUCCGUUGUGAAAACUCGAGGCUCAACCUCGAGAUGUCGAUGGAAACCGUCUGGCUAGAGUCCGGAAGAGGAGUGUGGAAUUCCUGGUGUAGUGGUGAAAUGCGCAGAUAUCAGGAAGAACACCUAUGGCGAAGGCAGCACUCUGGGACGGUACUGACGCUGAGACGCGAAAGCGUGGGGAGCGAACAGG
rnacentral:rRNA from 1 species